AUCCGGCUUCUUCACCAGCCACCCAGAUGACUGCUGAUGAAACUGUGGGUUUGCACAACCAAAGAAUUUCUGCAUAAACUGUCAGAAACCGUCUCAGGGAAGCUCAUCUGCAUGAUCGUCGUCCUCACCAUGGUCUUGAUCUGACUGCAGUUCGGCAUCGUAACCAACUUCAGUGGGUAAAUGCUCACCUUCGAUGGCCAAUGACACGCUGGUGAAGUGUGCUCUUCACAGAUGAAUCCCAGUUUCAACUGUACCUGGCAGAUGGCAGACAGCUGUAUUGCAUCGUGUGGGCUUAUCACUCUUUAGCUGCUCUGGGGUUGGAGUGGACCGUUGACUGGACAGAGCUGCUACGUAGAGUCUCAGAGAUCUGUUUUAUCAAUUCGCCAUGGGAACACUGUGACACAUACCGAGCGAUGUUUGAGGAGUGGUGGACACUACCGAUGAAACGUUUUUGGUUGAGAGAAUGCCAAGAGUGUGCAAAGCUGUCAUCAAGCUGUGGGAGUCGGACAGUGAGGCAGACAGCCAGGCUUUGGUCCCAUGUAGCUCUGAGCUCUGAGUCUCCACGCCAGAGAGAGUAAGUAGAGUGAUAUGCCCUCUGCUGGGAGGAGCUAACCACUGAGGCUUCCCAUAGCCCCUCCCACAGUUCCCCUAACCCCUCCUCCAGUAGGUAAUGAUGUCCUCUGCACAGAGGGACUAGGAAAUAAAAGUUCCAGUAGCUCCUCCUCCUAGGGAGAGGGAGCCAAGAGGACUCCAGGCUGGAGGGCUGGACUGGAGACUCCCCCAGACCUUCUGAAUAUGUUACUGCUCUGACACAGACAUGCUUAGACACACACAGAUACAUGUACAUAGACAAACAAGCUGAUAUACUGACUGUACACAGACACACAACCCCCCACCCCAACAAAACAUACACAAUUCCUUUAGACUAUCACACAAGGGAGGAAUAUAAAGCACACUACCUGUGUCAUAAUGACUGACGUUGAUGUGUACAGUGAGAAGUAGUAUGACUCUCUGGUCGAUAAUCAACAAGGCUUCCCUUCCUCCAUCUCCCACAUACCAGCCUAGCAUUUGUCAGUUUCUGUUCUCUCUCUCGCUCUCUCUCUCUCUCUCGCUCUCGCUCUCUCUCUCUCUCUCUCUCUCUCUCUCUCUCUCUCUCUCUGUCUCUCUCUCAACAUGCACACCAAUCUGAGCUGUGUGCCUGCUCUCCUCAGAGACGACAUUAAAAGCUCCCCAACAACUGUUUUAAAGAUCAUUCAGGGCUAGUCUUACAUAUCUCUCAACACUCAACCCACUCACAUCAUCACUCACCUCUCCAUUCCCAACUCCUCGAGGCCUCGUUCAGCUCAGAUCAUAUAAACUGACAUACAGCUACAAAACGUUCUUUACUAUCCUCAACUACACUCACAGAGGCCUUGCUUCGGGACCUUCAGCUAGUGUCAGACUCCUAUAACAUCUUAGUUCAGUUCCACGUGGUCGUAGCUGGUGUCCAUGGCUGCUGUUGGUCUGACAGGGCAGCAGGUGUUAGUGUGUGUGUUGUUUCAGAAGGCUACUGUUCUUUUCCCUACAGAUGAAUAAGCCUUCACCGACUACAGCUGGGAAUGUGGCUGAACGCUCCUGAUGCCACUGUCACUGUGCCUUAGCCUUGGCUGCUCCCAUCCCGGGGUCCUACAGGAUCUGGCCCAGUUCAUACACAGCUGCAAGCUGCACACAUCAAACCUAUCCAAAGUAAAAAACACAGUGUCGGAUAGACUACAUCUCCUCACAAUGAAAUUCCUAUAACCCCAGCGGAACAUUUUACACAACAGGCUACUUGGGUUUAAUGACUAAGGAAUGCAUACACACACGUUUAUUAAUUUAAAACAAUAAAUGACAUUAAAUUGAAAAUCGUAGCUGCUGGCCAUGGCUAUGACGUGUGUUGGACUGGACUCUCAUAGACUUACAAUAGUAAAGUCAAAUAUUUAUGUAAGGACAUCUUGGGCUGCAAAUCCACUGGGUUCCCUCUGACAGUCCUGGGCACUCAGUGCCUUACACACGCACACGCACACGCACACACACACACACACACAGACACACACACACACACACACACACACACACACACACACACACACACACACACACACACACACACACACACACACACACACACACACACACACACACACACACACACACACACACACACGCACAGCUCCUGGCCUCCCUAAUUAGCAGGUGAGAGUGCUUAAAGGGAGGGUUGGUGGUUGGGUCUGACAGUGUACACACAGCAUGGGAGGGAGAUUCCUGGGGAGGUCACCCAGUCCUGGACUAAUUCUCCCCUUUAAUUGGGCCGUGUGUCAACGGACGUGACAAGUCUCAUCUGACCUGUCUGGAGCCUCCGUAUACUCUGUGUGUGUGUGUGGUGUGUGUCUCCUCAGGAAGAGAUUCAUUACCUUGGGGUUAUGAUUUAUGUUUGUGUACAUAGUACAGCAUUAACUGGCCAACAUACCCUCUACACAGUAUAAUGGUCAUUUUAGAUACGCUACACUGUCAUAAUACAAGUCAUGUGUACUCAGUGCCAAUAACAGACAGUACUGUUUUUCAGCAAAGGUUAAUCAAGAACUACACUAGUGCAGACAGCUUUAUCAAAAAAGGAAUAUUAUGAACAUUUAGUGUACACUUGCUUUCUAGUGUUACAGACACAGGGGGAAAUGUCUCAUUUAAAAGUUGAGAGUUAAAAAAAAAUGGAAUAAUUUGAAGUGAAAAUGAUGUAUAAAACCUAGGAUGAACUUUGACACAAUGACUAGUCAGACAAAUCAACAAUAAAGUUUGCAUGGAUGAA